rnacentral:rRNA from 1 species
UACGGGGGGGGCAAGCGUUGUUCGGAAUUACUGGGCGUAAAGGGCUCGUAGGCGGCCAACUAAGUCAUACGUGAAAUCCCUCAGCUUAACUGGGGAACUGCGUGUGAUACUGGAAGGCUUGAAUCCGGGAGAGGGAUGCGGAAUUCCAGGUGUAGCGGUGAAAUGCGUAGAUAUCUGGAGGAACACCGGUGGCGAAGGCGGCAUCCUGGACCGGCAUUGACGCUGAGGCGCGAAAGCCAGGGGAGCAAACGGG